rnacentral:rRNA from 1 species
AGUGAACGCUGGCGGUAGGCCUAACACAUGCAAGUCGAACGGCAGCACAGUAAGAGCUUGCUCUUACGGGUGGCGAGUGGCGGACGGGUGAGGAAUACAUCGGAAUCUACUUUUUCGUGGGGGAUAACGUAGGGAAACUUACGCUAAUACCGCAUACGACCUACGGGUGAAAGCAGGGGAUCUUCGGACCUUGCGCGAUUGAAUGAGCCGAUGUCGGUUUAGCUAGUUGGCGGGGUAAAGGCCCACCAAGGCGACGAUCCAUAGCUGGUCUGAGAGGAUGAUCAGCCACACUGGAACUGAGACACGGUCCAGACUCCUACGGGAGGCAGCAGUGGGGAAUAUUGGACAAUGGGCGCAAGCCUGAUCCAGCCAUACCGCGUGGGUGAAGAAGGCCUUCGGGUUGUAAAGCCCUUUUGUUGGGAAAGAAAAGCAGCAGGUUAAUACCCCGCUGUUCUGACGGUACCCAAAGAAUAAGCACCGGCUAACUUCGUG